rnacentral:misc_RNA from 1 species
CCAUGAACCAUAGAAAGAAUUUUGGCACAGCAUUUGCAGUACAUUUCCUAAAUGGAUAUAGAUAAAUGCAACAAACAUUACAUUCACUGCAGAAUAUAUGGUUCAGCUAAAAAAAUUAAUAACUGUAAUGCACUCCAGAUUAUAUUACACUUUUGACUACCUCCUGUUUCAGUUCAACAAAAGCAAAACAAUCUAAGUUCCCUUGCCGGCCAAAGAAGCAGAAAAGAAAGAGCAGCAGAUACUGUCAAACUUUCAGAUAAUUUUCUUCUCCUUUUUCUGUAGUUUCAUCACUGGCCUUCAAUAAUUACUGUACAACCAAAACAGAACCAUGCUAAUAGCUAAGACCUGCCACAACCACUAUCCUUGAACUCUUUCAACAGAGGAUAACAGUACCAACACUAUACAUCCUAAAACCGCCGCCUCACACGCCUGGCGUUGGGAUUCACUGAUUCUGCUGCAGCCCCAUCUGCCGCUCCUAGAUCGAGCCCAUAUAUGCUGCUACCACUUCUCUUCCGACCUGAUAGCAGACUUGAGUUCUCAUCUCCUGAUGCAAAUGUCUUUAGCAUCUCACACAACAGUGAAGGGCAACUCUCUUCCAAGUGUCGAAAACCUUCUGACUGCAUUACCGCUCCCAAGUUUGCUGGAUUUGCAGCAAAUUUCAAACAGAUGACCUUGAGUUGCAAACACUGAUGCUGCUCAGCCAAUGCAAGUGUUGUCGCCACUGUAUCAGCACUCAGUUCCUCACACAACUUUGAUUCACAUAACAAUUUCAAUCGAUCUAAGUUGUAAAGGUCAGCAGCAGCCAAUAGAUGCUGCACCAUGUUGGUGGACGUGCACAUAGAUGUUGUGCCAGUAAUCUCAUGUACAUCAGGAAGUUUGUCUGUGUAUAUAAACAAUAGCAUUGCCUUGAAGAUUGAGGGAUCAAUGUCCUUCACAACUACUUUAUCUAGGUUGGGAUCCCCAACAAGUCCAAAAAACUGAGCUCUGAAAACAGGGGAACGAGCAGCAAGUAUCAACUUAUGAGCUUUAAAUGUUUCAUCCCCAACCUGGAAAACAAUGUCGCAACCAACUUCAGAUUCUAAGAGUUCCCUAAGGCCCUGACCCAUGUCUGAAGGUGGAACAGGAAUGGAAUACUGUUUUGGUCCUUCAAGACGAGUGCUGACAACUCCAACUGUGCAGUUCAUAACUAGACAAUCAUCCUUUAUAUAGUCGGAAUUUUCUAAAGUUGUCCUCCUAAAGAAACGCUUGUAGCCCCACAUGCUCCCUCUAUACUUCAGCGUGUACGGCCCGCUCUCCAACGCACGAUCGAAGUGGCUAUGUACUUUGUGCUUCCCAUUCCCACUCUGAUCCACCAACGUCAACUCGAACAAAGCCCUGACAUCCGUUCCCUCGCUCGCGAGGGCUAUAAACACCGAAACAUACAUGGAACUGUCCUCGGGGUUUUUCCCAUCCGGAUAGAAGUAAAUCGCCCAAUCGUAACCUCCCACCGAGAAAAUAUCACUCGAUAUGCACUUCCCAGCACCCAUACCUUUCGCCAAUGAAUAUCCCUUUAUCGUGAACUGGUGUGACCCAUUGACCGUCUCGUUUAUUGACCUGGAACACGACUCCUUAUCAAAAUCCGCCUUGAAAUCGCUCAUGCUUUCAUCGAACUCCACAGUUCUUCGCAAAAGCAAUGACAACCCUUCCCCUCUAUCAGCCUAAAUUACAGAAUCCCUUAAACAAUCCUUCAACUAAUAGGGCUAAUGAUGAUCAGGCAAGCCCUGGAAUGCCUAUGCGCGUAAUACGAACCACGAUACUACAUAUACCCCUCUGGGGUAUAAGGAUCAAUUCCACUGAAUCGUAUAAAAUCCGAGAAAAUUCCUCGGAUCCUAGGGUUGUAUAAGCAAAAGCAAACCCUAGAACCAAAUUAAAGGCAAAAUUGGGUAAUAUAGGGCUGGAAGAGAAUGAAUUGAAAAGAAAUCGGUGACCUAACUGUACAAACAGGAGUAGUGUAAGAUCGGGAAUUGGCCAGAGAAAAGUGAUAAAGAGACCAAAGGGGGUUUAGAAACAAAGGUUUUUAUGUUUUUUUUUCCCGUGGUUGUGAAGAACGCUUACAGGUGGCACACAGAGAGACGUAAAAGUUCAGGAAAAUGGUUGAUUUUACAGGAGAGUGGUGGGUUUGGUUGGGGUCUUAUUCUGAAGAAAUUUUGUGUAAGGGAAUGGGAAUGGAGGCCGAGGAGGCAUAAUCCACCUGGGAAACGAG